GACGGGGGGGGGCAAGCGUUGUUCGGAAUUACUGGGCGUAAAGGGCUUGUAGGCGGCCAACUAAGUCCGACGUGAAAUCCCAAGGCUUAACCUUGGAACUGCGUCGGAUACUGGAUGGCUUGAAUUCGGGAGAGGGAUGCAGAAUUCCAGGUGUAGCGGUGAAAUGCGUAGAUAUCUGGAGGAAUACCGGUGGCGAAGGCGGCAUCCUGGACCGACAUUGACGCUGAGGAGCGAAAGCUAGGGGAGCAAACGGG
rnacentral:rRNA from 1 species